rnacentral:rRNA from 1 species
UACGUAGGUGGCAAGCGUUGUCCGGAAUCAUUGGGCGUAAAGAGCGUGUAGGCGGUCCGGUAAGUCCGCUGUGAAAGUCGGGGGCUCAACCCUCGAAUGCCGGUGGAUACUGUCGGGCUAGAGUGCGGAAGAGGCGAGUGGAAUUCCUGGUGUAGCGGUGAAAUUCGUAGAUAUUGGGAAGAACACCGAUGGCGAAGGCAGCCAUCUGGACCGACACUGACGCUGAGGCGCGAAAGCGUGGGGAGCGAACAGG